rnacentral:rRNA from 1 species
AUUCCAGCUCCAAUAGCGUAUAUUAAAGUUGUUGCAGUUAAAAAGCUCGUAGUUGAAUUUCUGGCCGGCGCUGUUCACGGCUCUCGCAGUCGGUUCAGGAGCCUGGUCAUCCGUAUGGGAAGCUAGCUCGUCCUUCAGUGGUCGGCUAGUGGAUCAUACACUUUACUUUGAAAAAAUUAGAGUGUUUCAGGCAGGCAAUUGCUUGGAUACUGCAGCAUGGAAUAAUGGAAUAGGACUUUGACCUAUUUGUUGGUUUCUUGAGGUCAAAGUAAUGAUUAAUAGGGACAGUUGGGGGCAUCCGUAUUUAAUUGUCAGAGGUGAAAUUCUUGGAUUUAUUAAAGACGAACUUAUGCGAAAGCAUUUGCCAAGGAUGUUUUCAUUA